GCAAACUGUGUCUGGUUUUCCGGCGGGUACAGUGGCUCAAUCUCUCGGAUGAUGCAUCCUUGUGACAACAAUUUCUGUCGAUGAUCCAUCGGAACAUCGGGAAGCAUUGCGACGACGAGCGGGUAGAUAGACUUGGCCUUGCGUAGACCCUUGGCGAGUGCAACCACACCCUUCCAGUAGUCACCAUCUCCGGCCAAAAAGGUGACGUAAGCACGUCGAGGCAGGGUUUUGGCCUUCACCAGACCGGAUGUCAUCAUUCCGUUGGCGGUGUUUUUAGCGACUGGUGGAGCCAUGAUGAUGGUUGUGAAUGAAGAUUGAAGAUUGUGUUUGUGUUUGUGGAUAGGAAGGAAGUAAUUUAAGUGUGUUUUGU
rnacentral:lncRNA from 1 species